rnacentral:rRNA from 1 species
AGCGAACGCUGGCGGCGUGCCUAACACAUGCAAGUCGAGCGGACCAGAAAUGGAGGUAACUUUAUUUCUGGUUAGCGGCGAACGGGUGAGUAACACGUGGGUAACCUGCCCUCAGGAGGAGGAUAACUCGGGGAAACCUGAGCUAAUACUCCAUAAGACACGAGCUGAAAUGCUUGUGGUAAAAGAAGCAAUUCACCUGAGGAUGGGCCCGCGGCCUAUCAGGUAGUUGGUAGGGUAAUGGCCUACCAAGCCUAUGACGGGUAGCCGAGCUGAGAGGCUGGCCGGCCACACUGGGACUGAGACAUGGCCCAGACUCCUACGGGAGGCAGCAGUGGGGAAUAUUGGGCAAUGGGCGAAAGCCUGACCCAGCGACGCCGCGUGGGGGAAGAAGGCCUUCGGGUUGUAAACCCCUUUUGCAGGGGACGACACAGGACGGUACCCUGCGAAUAAGCCACGGCUAACUCUGUGCCAGCAGCCGCGGUAAGACAGAGGUGGCAAGCGUUGCUCGGAUUCACUGGGCUUAAAGGGCGCGUAGGUGGUUUUGUAAGUCUAAGGUGGAAUUCCACAGCUUAACUGUGGGACUGCCUUUGAUACUGCAAGGCUUGAGUCAGGCAGAGGAGGGCGGAAUUCCCGGUGUAGCGGUGAAAUGCGUAGAUAUCGGGAGGAAGGCCUGUGGCGAAGGCGGCCCUCUGGGCCUGCACUGACACUGAGGCGCGAAAGCGUGGGGAGCAAACA